rnacentral:rRNA from 1 species
GACGAACGCUGGCGGCGUGCUUAACACGUGCAAGUCGAACGAAGAGCGAUGGAAGCUUGCUUCUAUCAAUCUUAGUGGCGAACGGGUGAGUAACGCGUAAUCAACCUGCCCUUCAGAGGGGGACAACAGUUGGAAACGACUGCUAAUACCGCAUACGAUCUAAUCUCGGCAUCGAGGAUAGAUGAAAGGUGGCCUCUACAUGUAAGCUAUCACUGAAGGAGGGGAUUGCGUCUGAUUAGCUAGUUGGAGGGGUAACGGCCCACCAAGGCGAUGAUCAGUAGCCGGUCUGAGAGGAUGAACGGCCACAUUGGGACUGAGACACGGCCCAGACUCCUACGGGAGGCAGCAGUGGGGAGUCUUCCGCAAUGGACGAAAGUCUGACGGAGCAACGCCGCGUGAGUGAUGACGGCCUUCGGGUUGUAAAGCUCUGUUAAUCGGGACGAAAGGCCUUCUUGCGAAUAGUGAGAAGGAUUGACGGUACCGGAAUAGAAAGCCACGGCUAACUACGUG